AGAGGCACGGCAAGCGAGACGAGAAAAGAGCAGCAGGCAGGGCAGAGGCAGAGGCAGAGCUGGCGCCAGGGCGCCACUGACGUAAUAAAAGAAAUAAUAGUAACGAUGUCGGCGGCGGCGGCGGCAUCGUCGGAAUGGCGCCACCAAUAUAAGCUUAUAUCAGACAGACACAGACGCAGACACAGAUACGAAGCAACGACGGUCGGUUUGUCAGCCGGUUUGACAAGUUGAAGAAUCAACAAUAUUUAAGGUUGCGGACGACGAGGCGAGAAGAUCGGAUCGGGCUAAAAACUCAUACAUAUUAUGUACAUAUGCUCAGUAUGCACAUGCGGUGGCCAAAAGAUAUAAGUACCGAAAACAAAUAAAUUUACAUAACAAAAAGAGACCGAUCUUCGUUUUUUCCCCGCACAUAGCGAAAAUUGUAGCUGACAUAGGAAGAAUUGGUCGAAAGCAAGACUUUAUUCAAGAAACGCAGAACAUCGAUGGUGCUGAAAUCUAUGUAUAUACAUACAUACUCCUACAUUUAAGCGUAUGUACAUACAUACAUACACUUAUCGUUUGACGACCGGCACGUUUUGAUACCCUUGUUCCUGUGGCAGCUGUAUGGUAACUUAUAGUGAUUCGAUUUUGUGUUAUUGCUAUUUCAUACAUACAUAUGUAUAUUAGAUAUAUUAGCUUUGUGAAAUCAUUUUAAGAAAACCCGAUUACAUUCAUAAAUCUAUUGAAAAAGAGAAGAGAACCGAAUUUACUUACUUUUGAUAUAGUGUUUAUCCACUGUAUCGUAUCCUUAGCUUUUUGUUGUAUUUGUAGAAGAUAUGUGUGUUGUAUGCAUAGAUAGGUUUAAUAAUAUACACAUGUAUUCUUGA